GACAGAGGUGCCAAGCGUUAGGCGGAAUCACUGGGCUUAAAGCGUGUGUAGGCGGAUUUGUAAGUACCUUGUGAAAUCCCAUGGCUCAACCAUGGAACUGCUCGGUAUACUGCGAAUCUUGAGCCACUUAGGGCUACCGGAACAAAUGGUGGAGCGGUGAAAUGCGUAGAUAUCAUUUGGAACGCCAAUGGUGAAAACAGGUAGCUGGGAGUGUGCUGACGCUGAGACGCGAAAGCGUGGGGAGCAAACAGG
rnacentral:rRNA from 1 species